AUGGCUCGGCCCGACGAGGAUUGUUUUUUGUGGUCACACAGACGGAUUGGAGAUGGCCAGAGGGCCGAGAUAUUGACGAUGGAAGCGGCCGGGAUAAGAAAGCAUAUUAUAAUGGACAACUUCAUCAGCAGAUACGGUUCGUACGAUAAGUGCGGGCUUAUCAGGAGGGAUAUUUACAAUCUUUGUUGCAGAGAAAAAAUGAAGCUCAUUGCAAAGGGUGAUGCAGAGACGGCAGUUGGCAUUAUGAGGAGCAGGAAGGAGAAGGACCCUGAGUUUUUUUUUUGA
rnacentral:rRNA from 1 species